UUCAUGGGGAAGCAAAUUUAAGUACCACCUAAGUAUUAGCUUAUUCAUUACAACCGCUAUGUAUUUCGUACAUUACUGCCAGCCACCAUGAAUAUUGUACA
rnacentral:ncRNA from 13 species